rnacentral:rRNA from 1 species
UACGUAGGGACCAAGCGUUGUUCGGAUUUACUGGGCGUAAGGGCGCGUUGGCGGCGCGGUAAGUCACUUGUGAAAUCUCUGAGCUUAACUCAGAACGGCCAAGUGAUACUGCAGUGCUAGAGUGUGGAAGGGGCAAUCGGAAUUCUUGGUGUAGCGGUGAAAUGCGUAGAUAUCAAGAGGAACACCUGAGGUGAAGACGGGUUGCUGGGCCAACACUGACGCUGAUGCGCGAAAGCCAGGGGAGCAAACGGG